UUUAAUAAAUCCAAAAACGCAGAAAUUUAAAUUCCCAAAUUAAUAUUCCAAUAUUUCGAAUUAGAAGUGCCUAAUGGCGUCAAGUACAUGCACCUCAUGCACAUGCCAGCGCGGUUGAUUCACGGGCACAGUCGGCUAUAUUAAAGGAGCAAGGUAGUAAGGUAGCCAAGUUUCAUCGAUUUUAUUGUACCGACGAAACAAGGAAAUGAAGUUAGUGAACAGUUGGGUCGAGAUAACAUUUAUUUCUCGAAAGGAGCAUCGAUAUCGCGGAAUAGGGGGUUAGAGGAGGGGGGCGGCAGCGAUGUCGCAGAAUUGGAAAACGCGACACGCUCCAACCUCAAACUUUACGUUUCGCACACGGAAACAGUUGGUAACCAAGAAAAAUUUUCGGAAUCCUCUUCUAUCUUGAAGCUUUAUCGAUCGAUAAAUCAAACUUCCUGAAAACGAGCGAACUUGUCGAAGGAGGCGUGAAACGUACGGGACGAAGAGCAACGAUGUCCUCGUUGACUGUGGUGCACGAUUCGCGGUUGGUUCUAUUGGAGAUUAUAGUGGAAAACUUAUACAUGCCAUGGAAGGGAAUAUUCGACGCAGCACUAAUGAAGAAGACGGUGAUAAUGUUUCGUAUGUUGGACGAGGAAUGGACAAGUUUGAUGCCCAAUCGGCAGGACUACCGUUCCUACCGUGGCUCCAAUUACGAGAAUGAACGUUUCUACGGCGGUAGAUCCGUGCUGUUUGCAGUACCGGAAGAGACAUUUGAGAAGGACGUAUCCGGCGUGGACCUACAGUUAUACGUAUCCAAGGAGGUAUCCAAGUAUUUCGAAUUGGAACGACGGCAGAACUUCGGGUUCACCCUCGUCAAGAUGGACGAUCUGCUUAACGGUAUUAUAAAGGACCUCCGUGAACGGAAGGAGCUUGGAGGUUAUUUUUCUAGCGCACUGGAGCGAGAACCUAUAUCAAGAUCGACGCGUGGAACGUUUCCCCUGUUCGACGAGGAUGUAAAUAAAACCGACGCGACCAUCGAGGUGUACGUGCGGAUCAGUUUCCUAGGAAAAUGCAUCAUCACCGAGGUGUACGCUCCCAUAAGCACGAAAAAAGCGUUUUAUGCACGCGAGGAGACGGACCCACGUUAUCCGUAUCAGUUCCGCGAAUUAACCACGAUGGACGUUGAGUCCUUCUGCUGGGGUAGUUUGACUAUUAUACCUCCGGUCCACCCAGACUAUCUGACUUGCGCUUGCAAGACGGAACCAGAAUGUUUAGAAAGCGCGACACAGACCAAGAAGAAGAAAAGGAAACAGAAAGCGACCCUCAGGGAGAUGUACAUGGCCCGACUAGCACUCGUGCAAGAAUUAUUGGCCAAAAUGAAGGAAGCCAGGAGGAAUAGACCACAAAUCAUGCAACACGGAGAAGGACCCAAAGCAGUUUGUCCAACUUGUAUUUGUCCAGAGGUCUGCAGUCCAUCCGCUCCAGUGUCUUGUAUUUACACUAUGCCGCCCAGCUCUUGUUCCUCUCCUUGUCAACCGACCGUUUACUGUCUACCAAACGCCACGUGACCCCGCAGGUAAAAUUUGCAUACGAAGGGGAACCACGGAAUGCCGCUGAAAGAUAUCCGGAGGCGUUACGUCGUCUAAAUCCAGUCGAACUUUUACCAUUGUUCCAGGCUGGCUUUUCUCGAGGCAUAGGAGUAUUUUAUCAUCUGUGGUAUUAUGCGAAGAUUCGGAUCUCGAGUGGGCGAAAAUCGUUGAUCGUAGGAGACGCACAAAAUCGGAGGAACGUUUGCGAAAAUGGAGUGAACGCCACCCUUCCUCGGUUCAUAAUUCUUCAGGAUAACCCUCCACGUUUGAAAUUUUACGGAAUUUAACCGCAAAGAAAAUAUUUCUUUUUCACUUCACUCGACUCGUUUGGUUCGUAAUUUUAACCAAAAUUUAAAGAUAAUAUUUGUUCACGAGAUAAAUUAUACCACGUGAUUAAGUCAGGCGAAUAAAUUAAUGAUUUCAAACUUA
rnacentral:misc_RNA from 1 species